rnacentral:rRNA from 1 species
UACGAAGGUCCCGAGCGUUGUUCGGAAUCACUGGGCGUAAAGGGAGCGUAGGCGGCGCGGUAAGUCAGAUGUGAAAUCCCGGGGCUCAACCCCGGAACUGCAUCCGAUACUGCCGUGCUAGAGGAUUGGAGAGGUAGCUGGAAUUCUUGGUGUAGCAGUGAAAUGCGUGGAGAUCAAGAGGAACACUCGUGGCGAAAGCGAGCUACUGGACAGUAUCUGACGCUGAGGCUCGAAGGCCAGGGUAGCGAAAGGG